rnacentral:rRNA from 1 species
AUGGCGGAUCAGCUCACCGACGACCAGAUCGCCGAGUUCAAGGAGGCCUUCAGCCUCUUCGACAAGGACGGAGAUGGUGAGCGCGCCCCUCCUCCCUUCCCCCCUCCCGUCCCUCGGAUCUCUCCGUCGCGCGACGCUCGCCGCCGCACGCGCGGUUGCAUCACCACCAAGGAGCUGGGAACAGUUAUGCGUUCGCUGGGGCAGAACCCAACGGAGGCUGAGCUCCAGGACAUGAUCAAUGAAGUCGAUGCUGAUGGCAACGGCACCAUUGACUUCCCAGAGUUCCUCAACCUGAUGGCCCGCAAGAUGAAGGACACUGACUCAGAGGAGGAGCUCAAGGAGGCCUUCAGGGUGUUCGACAAGGACCAAAACGGUUUCAUCUCUGCUGCUGAGCUCCGCCAUGUCAUGACGAACCUCGGUGAGAAGCUCACCGACGAGGAGGUGGACGAGAUGAUCCGUGAAGCCGACGUCGACGGUGAUGGCCAGAUCAACUACGAGGAGUUCGUCAAGGUCAUGAUGGCCAAAUGA